AUUGAACGCUGGCGGCAUGCCUUACACAUGCAAGUCGAACGGCAGCGCGGGAGCAAUCCUGGCGGCGAGUGGCGAACGGGUGAGUAAUAUAUCGGAACGUGCCCAGUAGUGGGGGAUAGCCCGGCGAAAGCCGGAUUAAUACCGCAUACGACCUGAGGGUGAAAGGGGGGGAUCGCAAGACCUCUCGCUAUUGGAGCGGCCGAUAUCAGAUUAGGUAGUUGGUGGGGUAAGGGCCUACCAAGCCUGCGAUCUGUAGUUGGUCUGAGAGGACGACCAGCCACACUGGGACUGAGACACGGCCCAGACUCCUACGGGAGGCAGCAGUGGGGAAUUUUGGACAAUGGGCGCAAGCCUGAUCCAGCAAUGCCGCGUGCAGGAAGAAGGCCUUCGGGUUGUAAACUGCUUUUGUCAGGGAAGAAAUCCUCUAGGCUAAUACCUUGGGGGGAUGACGGUACCUGAAGAAUAAGCACCGGCUAACUACGUGCCAGCAGCCGCGGUAA
rnacentral:rRNA from 1 species